rnacentral:piRNA from 1 species
UGCUGUCAUCAGUUUUGUCUGAAAGCAGGA